GAUGAACGCUGGCGGCGUGCCUAACACAUGCAAGUCGAACGGACAUUUUUUGGAAAGCUCUUCGGAACUGGAAUCUAAAUGUUAGUGGCGGACGGGUGAGUAACGCGUGAGCAAUCUGCCUUUCAGAGGGGGAUAACAGCCGGAAACGGCUGCUAAUACCGCAUAAGCGCACAGCAUCGCAUGAUGCAGUGUGAAAAACUCCGGUGGUGUGAGAUGGACCCGCGUUGGAUUAGCUAGUUGGCAGGGCAGCGGCCUACCAAGGCGACGAUCCAUAGCCGGCCUGAGAGGGUGAACGGCCACAUUGGGACUGAGACACGGCCCAG
rnacentral:rRNA from 1 species